GACGAACGCUGGCGGCGUGCUUAACACAUGCAAGUCGAACGGUAAGGCCCUUCGGGGUACACGAGUGGCGAACGGGUGAGUAACACGUGGGUGAUCUGCCCUGCACUUCGGGAUAAGCCUGGGAAACUGGGUCUAAUACCGGAUAGGACCACUGCCUGCAUGGGUGGUGGUGGAAAGCUUUUGCGGUGUGGGAUGGGCCCGCGGCCUAUCAGCGUGUUGGUGGCGUGAUGGCCUACCAGGGCGACGACGGGUAGCCGGCCUGAGAGGGUGACCGGCCAUCCUGGGACUGAGUGACAGCCCAGACUCCUACGGGAGGCAGCAGUGGUGAAUAUUGCACAAUGGGCGCAAGCCUGAUGCAGCGACGCCGCGGGAGGGAUGACGGCCUUCGGGUUGUAAACCUCUUUCAGCACCGACGAAGCGCAAGUGACGGUAGGUGCAGAAGAAGGACCGGCCAUCUACGUGCCAGCCGCCGCCGUAA
rnacentral:rRNA from 1 species